rnacentral:rRNA from 1 species
CCUACGGGUGGCAGCAGUGAGGAAUAUUGGUCAAUGGACGAGAGUCUGAACCAGCCAAGUAGCGUGAAGGAUGACUGCCCUAUGGGUUGUAAACUUCUUUUAUAUGGGAAUAAAAUGUUCCACGUGUGGGAUUUUGUAUGUACCUUAUGAAUAAGGAUCGGCUAACUCCGUGCCAGCAGCCGCGGUAAUACGGAGGAUCCGAGCGUUAUCCGGAUUUAUUGGGUUUAAAGGGAGCGUAGGUGGAUUGUUAAGUCAGUUGUGAAAGUUUGCGGCUCAACCGUAAAAUUGCAGUUGAUACUGGCAGUCUUGAGUACAGUAGAGGUGGGCGGAAUUCGUGGUGUAGCGGUGAAAUGCUUAGAUAUCACGAAGAACUCCGAUUGCGAAGGCAGUUCACUGGACUGCAACUGACACUGAGGCUCGAAAGUGUGGGUAUCAAACAGGAUUAGAUACCCGAGUAGUC